AUGAACGCUGGCGGCGUGCCUAAUACAUGCAAGUCGAGCGAACAGACGAGGAGCUUGCUCCUCUGACGUUAGCGGCGGACGGGUGAGUAACACGUGGAUAACCUACCUAUAAGACUGGGAUAACUUCGGGAAACCGGAGCUAAUACCGGAUAAUAUAUUGAACCGCAUGGUUCAAUAGUGAAAGACGGUUUUGCUGUCACUUAUAGAUGGAUCCGCGCCGCAUUAGCUAGUUGGUAAGGUAACGGCUUACCAAGGCAACGAUGCGUAGCCGACCUGAGAGGGUGAUCGGCCACACUGGAACUGAGACACGGUCCAGACUCCUACGGGAGGCAGCAGUAGGGAAUCUUCCGCAAUGGGCGAAAGCCUGAUGGAGCAACGCCGCGUGAGUGAUGAAGGUCUUCGGAUCGUAAAACUCUGUUAUUAGGGAAGAACAAAUGUGUAAGUAACUAUGCACGUCUUGACGGUACCUAAUCAGAAAGCCACGGCUAACUACGU
rnacentral:rRNA from 1 species